rnacentral:tRNA from 1 species
GGGGAUUUAGCUCAGUGGUAGAGCUCUUGCCUAGCAAGUACAAGGCCCUGGGUUCAGUCCCCA